rnacentral:rRNA from 1 species
GAUGAACGCUGGCGGCGUGCCUAAUACAUGCAGGUCGAGCGAAUGGAUUAAGAGCUUGCUCUUAUGAAGUUAGCGGCGGACGGGUGAGUAACACGUGAGUAAGCUGCCCAUAAGACUGGGAUAACUCCGGGAAACCGGCGCUAAUACCGGAUAACAUUUUGAACCGCAUGGUUCGAAAUUGAAAGGCGGCUUCGGCUGUCACUUAUGGAUGGACCCGCGUCGCAUUAGCUAGUUGGUGGGGUAACGGCUCACCAAGGCAACGAUGCGUAGCCGACCUGAGAGGGUGAUCGGCCACACUGGGACUGAGACACGGCCCAGACUCCUACGGGAGGCAGCAGUAGGGAAUCUUACGCAAUGGACGAAAGUCUGAUGGAGCAACGCCGCGUGAGUGAUGAAGGCUUUCGGGUCGUAAAACUCUGUUGUUAGGGAAGAACAAGUGCUAGUUGAAUAAGCUGGCACCUUGACGGUACCUAACCAGAAAGCCACGGCUAACUACGUGCCAGCCGCCGCUGUAA